rnacentral:rRNA from 1 species
CUGCUGCCUCCCGUAGGAGUCUGGUCCGUGUCUCAGUACCAGUGUGGGGGGCCUUCCUCUCAGAACCCCUACGCAUCGUCGCCUCGGUGGGCCGUUACCCCGCCGACUAGCUAAUGCGCCGCAUGCCCAUCCGUGGCCGGGAUUGCUCCCUUUGGCGGCCUUGGGAUGUCCCUAGGCCGCGUUACGCGGUAUUAGACGGGGUUUCCCCCGCUUAUCCCCCCUGCCACGGGCAGGUUGCAUACGUGUUACUCACCCGUGCGCCGGUCGCCGGCAACGG